rnacentral:lncRNA from 1 species
GAUUUGAAAAUAAUUAGAAGUCCAAUUCUUGAGAGACUACACAGCACAUGACUCAAAAUUUUCAAAGCCCUGAAUUAACUUAAAGUGCUAACACAGGAAUUUAAACCUUAUUCAGACCUCACAUUAACAAAACUUAAAGGGUUAAAUAACCAAGAUCUUGAAACAACUAAAUAUGCUCAGUUAACUUCUUUCAAUAUUGACAGUAUCUAGACCAACAAUUUAAAACAAACUGAUCUUCAAAAGUCAACCAAAGUUUUCAACAUAGCUCAUGCAUUUCACACUUAGUCGAAGACAGAUGCAGAAAUACAAAAGCAUGUUUCUUAAUCAAAUCCCAACCUCUUUGGUGCUACAUCAACAAAUCAAUCUUAUUUCCAAACAACACUAUUAUGUUCCAACACCUCACAGAACCCUCUAACAGCAAACCAAACAUUAAUCAUUUUUCCUUUUAGCCUCGUUAGCACCAAUUCAAACAUGAGAAUACUACCAAGCACACCUACUUACUUCAUCCAAGGCUCAAACACAUUUGAAACAUAUUAACUUGAUUGAGUCCUUUACAUAACACUCUAAUAGUCCCAAACCAAAUACAGCUAUAGGAACUUCACCAUUCAAAUGGAAACCAGCUAGAAUACACAAUGAUUCAUGUGAUCUAAGGCACAAACAAUUAAAAAAAUGUAAAUAGAACUCAGAUAAGUCUGCUGCCAUGCCUUAAACUCUCAUUUCCAUCUUCAAACUGAAACUUACAUCAAGUAAAGUUCAGAAAAAUGUACCUGGAAUUCAAAACAAAACAGAAAAAUGAGGGAUUCAGCAGCAAACAGUAGCAGCCAACCCAGAUUCAGCAAUUGAAAUAGUGAAAAUCCACUCAGAAGAAUCAAUAGAACAACAAACCAAUCAACAAACUUAAACCAGCUCUUUCAAUGCCCAAGUUCAGUCCAUUUUUACCCCAGAUGAGUCAAAAAUUAUUUCAGAAAUUGACAACUUCAAGAAUCACAAAGGAAAACUGAAUGAAACAGUGAUUUUUAUGAGAUUUUUUAGUCGCUUUUGUUUUUCUGAAUUUUUCCCUCUUCAGGCCUGCCUUGAAUGGCAAGAUAGGGAUGCUUUUAAAGGCAAGGCAAUAGGGAAACUAAUAGAGACUCAAAUUAUCCUUUAGGCCCUUUGCAUGUUUUCAUUUUUGCCUAGAUAUCCCUAUUUAGUUUUCAGAUUUUCAAAACAAUCCCAAAGUUAGCUUCCAAGAAGCUUCCAUUUCAGUUAUAAAAAGAUUCUCUAGACUAGACUACCCAAACUACCCCUUAAUGACCUUGUUUUUACUGCUGAAACCUAUGGGUAUGGGUCAUAGGUCAAUGACCCAAUGGCUAAGCCAGGCCUGGACUCAAAACUUAAUUCAAGUCCCUUGGAGUGAAUUCUGAAAUGGAUUCAGAGCACAAACAGCAAAAUGAAUUAAACCAGACUGAGCAAAUUAUGACAAACAUAAGAAAACAAAUAAACGAUUUCACAAGACUAAGACCUAAACUAACAUGCGGAACUGAAUGAAGCUAUCAGAUACACCUAUUUAAGUUAACCUAGAAGGCUAAAAAAAUAGGGUGAACUCAGAAAUUUAGUCAUGUUAUUAACAGAAAAAUUAAAUAGUCCAAGCAACAUCAGAGAACAAGACUUGAAAAGAAAACUGAAAAGGAACAAACGGACAGAACUCUAGCUUGGCCAGAUAUUUUAGUCAAUUUUUAAUUGAAUUGUCCCAAGGAAAAGAGAAGAAGAGAAGAAGAGAAGAAGAGAAGAAGAGAAGAAGAAAGAAGACUGAAAGAACACAAGAAUAAGCAAAAGGAAAGGCAGAACUCACCGACUCAAGCUUGAACUUGCGACUGAACUUCCGAUUUAAACCUCCAAAUACUGUCAAUCGCUUGUUCUUUGUCAAGAACAAGUGAAUAAUGUUAUUUUGUGAUAAAACCGGCCCUGAAUACUCACAAAACUGGAAAAAUAACCUUGCAUGUGUAGAUUUGGCUUUGGCUUCUAGGGCUCGAACCUUAGAUUUAAGAUUCGAGAAUUUCUUGCAAGUUUCGAGGGAAAUGGAGUGAAGGUUUGGAAUUAGGGGAUGAAGGGGAUUGAAGGUUUUGGGUCGGUUUGGGACCGGCACCACCGGCUAAGAGUGGUGGAAGUUGAGGGCGGCGAUUUAGGGUUUCUGUCUCUGAAGAGGGGUGGAGUCGAGA